AUACAUGAAAUUUCCUAUUUAAUAUUGCAUUAUUUUGACUUAGUAUGAUUAUCACGGACCUUAAUAUAAAUCCGUGGCUUUAUUAAUGCUAAAUGCUUUAUUGUACAAACGGUAUCUAGGCAUAUCACGCGUUUUCAAAACAGCCAAUGAGUUUAAAGCGUUGGUUUUGUAUCACGUGAAUCCUAUCAACCAAUCAGAAAUAGCGCGGGCGAAAUGAAAAAAGAAAAAAACGCGAUUGGAAAUGGAUGGUUAAUAAAAUUCAGAAUAUUGCAAAACAAGGACAGUGUACAGCGUGUUUAAAUCUUCCAGAAAUGCAGCUGUGCCCUCUUAACAGCAAUUAUAGAUGAAGCAAAGUAUGGUAGCAAGUAAUAUAGAUAUACACACAUGCCGAAGAAGAUUGUAAUAUCUGGAGAAAACAUA